rnacentral:rRNA from 1 species
AAGUAUAUGCAUAUUUUAUAUGUAGAAACUGCGAACGGCUCAUUAAAACAGUUAUAAUCUACUUGACAUUUUCUAUAUAAGGAUAACUACGGAAAAGCUGUAGCUAAUACUUGCUUUAGCACUCUUGAUUUCUUUCUUGAGUGUGUACUUGUUAAGCCUUAUAAGAAAAGAGUUAUUAACUUAAGGAAUUAUAACAAAGAAGUAACACGUAAUGGAUUCUUCCAUUUUUAGUGUGUAUCAAUCGAGUUUCUGACCUAUCAGCUUUUGAUGUUAGGGUAUUGGCCUAACAUGGCUAUGACGGGUAACGGGGAAUUAGAGUUCGAUUCCGGAGAGGGAGCCUGAGAAAUAGCUACCACAUCUAAGGAAGGCAGCAGGCGCGUAAAUUACCCAAUUCUAAAGAAGAGAGGUAGUGACAAGAAAUAACAAUACAAGGCCAAUCUGGCUUUGUAAUUGGAAUGAUGGGAAUUUAAAACCUUCCCAAAAUUCAAUUGGAGGGCAAGUCUGGUGCCAGCAGCCGCGGUAAUUCCAGCUCCAAUAGCGUAUAUUAAAAUUGUUGCAGUUAAAACGCUCGUAGUUGAAUUUCAAAGAAUCGAUAUUUUAAGCAACGCUUCUAGCUAUAAAUCCACAUAACUGAUGCCUCCGCGUAUCGACUUUGUGCGCAUUUUAGCUAUUAUGUGUUCUUUUAAUUAAAAUGAUUCUUUUUAAGAUUCAUCUAUUAAAAAUUCGCUUCGGCAUAAUUUUUUUUGAUGAUCUUGUUACUUUGAGUAAAUUAGAGUGUUCAAAGCAAACAGAUAUAGCAUUUGUGCGUUUGAAUACUACAGCAUGGAAUAACAAAAUUGAACAAGUCAGAAUUUUUUUGUUCUUUUUUCUUAUUUUGGCUUAGUUACGAUUAAUAGGAGUAGCUUGGGGGCAUUUGUAUUCAGAUGUCAGAGGUGAAAUUCUUAGAUUUUCUGGAGACAAACAACUGCGAAAGCAUUUGCCUAAAAUACUUCCAUUAAUCAAGAACGAAAGUUAAGGGAGUGAAGACGAUCAGAUACCGUCGUAAUCUUAACCAUAAACUAUGCCGACUAGGCUUUGGAUGAAAGAUUUUAAAAUAAGAGUUUUUCUUUUCUCUCCGGAGAUUAGAACUCUUAGAUUGCUUCCUUCAGUGCCUUAUGAGAAAUCAAAGUCUUUGGGUUCUGGGGCGAGUAUUCGCGCAAGCGAGAAAGUUAAAAGAAUUGACGGAAGGGCACCACCAGGCGUGGAGCUUGCGGCUUAAUUUGACUCAACACGGGAAAACUCACUAGUUUAAGACAAGAGUAGGAUUGACAGAUUAAUAGCUCUUUCUUGAUUUCUUGGAUGGUGAUGCAUGGCCGUUUUUAGUUCGUGAAUAUGAUUUGUCUGGUUAAUUCCGAUAACGAACGAGAUCUUAACCUGCUAAUUAGCGGCAAAUACGAUAUAUUCUUAUGUAGAAUUGAAUAUAGUGGAUUUGUUAGAUUUUGAAGAAAAUAUUGGAAUUGCGUUAAAUGUGAUUCCUUUCCCUUUUCUACUUAAUUUACAUUUCCAUCUAUUUCUUUUUUGCGUAUGAAUGUAUUUGCUUGAUUGUAAAGCUUCUUAGAGGAACGAUGUGUGUCUAACACAAG